rnacentral:rRNA from 1 species
GGCGAACGGGUGAGUAACAACGUGGGUAACCUGCCCAUAAGAGGGGGAGUAACAUCCGGAAACGGGUGCUAAUACCGCAUAGUUUUCUUGAUCGCAUGAUCGGGAAAGGAAAGACGGCCUUUGUGCUGUCGCUUAUGGAUGGACCCGCGGCGUAUUAGUUAGUUGGUGAGGUAACGGCUCACCAAGACGAUGAUACGUAGCCGACCUGAGAGGGUGAUCGGCCACAUUGGGACUGAGACACGGCCCAAACUCCUACGGGAGGCAGCAGUAGGGAAUCUUCCGCAAUGGACGAAAGUCUGACGGAGCAACGCCGCGUGAGUGAAGAAAAGGGUUUUCGGAUCGUAAAACUCUGUUGUCAGAGAAGAACAAGUUGGAGAGUAACUGCUCCAGCCUUGACGGUAUCUGACCAGAAAGCCACGGCUAACUACGUGCCAGCCGCUGC